GUUGUUACAUACUAGUUGAUCGUGAUUGAUUACAGAUGGCGUUGUUGUGGAAAUGAGUUAAGGAAUUGUUUUUAACAGCCAUGCAACGUGCUUGCUGUUUCCCGUUUGUCCGUUAGUUUAGUUUCCUGCAGCUAUUGGAGGGUGGAAGUUGUGUUUUGUCGUGCGGGAUCUUGUCGAUAACUCACGAAAAAACUUUAAUAACUUAAUUCUGAGUGAACGUUGAGUGAUACUUACAGUGAGUGUGUUAUCAGUGUAUGUAUGUGUAAAAAGUUUUUUUGCAUGGGAGUGACUUUGAAACUUCACGGUACCCCGUUUCUUUCAUCAAAGAUAAAACUAACCUCAUAAACAUCACAUGCUCCAUAAGAUGACGUUUUAUAAAUAAAAAAGAGGAGAAGUUUGUUCUCACGGCGCGGGCGUCAACAAAAGAUGGACCAACAGAGCAUAUGUCGGAUGAGGCGGCGCUGCUGUAGGUGAACAGCGGACAGUAUGGAGCGGUGGCUAGUCGCACUGUUGGCGGCGCUGUCGCUGUCCGCCGCGAACGGAUACCUCAUCAUCAUACCCGACACUGCACCACCUGGACAUAUUGUCCUCGACGCUGCUGUCUACAAAUUAGGCUCAGAACGCUCUUACACGAUCGAUGUCCACCGCACUGCCAACUUCGUACACCACAUCCUGAGAGUCAAUAGAACAUCAGGACUAGUGACGUUACGGAAACGACUCAGAUGUGAUGGCGUUCUAUACCCAAAUCUUUUUACUUUCUAUGUGGAUUCAACCUCUGACCGAAUAAGAGAUAUAGAUUACUACAGCUUGCCUGUUAGAAUUCUUGUCGCUGGAGAAGAUUGCAGCAGACGACACGCGGAUCUCUACGACAUUGAUUUCGAUCGUGUCUAUGAUCAGAAUGAUUCCGCUAUGCAGUUUGAAGAAGAUCAUCUUAGAGAUAAACGAGAAGUCUACCACCACGAGAAUAUAGACUGGAGAUUGUUGGAGGAGAAGGAAUUGGAUACUAGUCAAUAUAGCGUACUGUCCACAGCAUAUCCAUGGUCUAAUGCGAUGUUUGAAGACCUUGCGGUUAGAAAUAAAAGUAGAAGUAAACGAUCUCUAUUAGUACCUUUCGAUAUGGCCAUAGAUGUUAAAAUAGCUGAAGCUAAGCAAUGGAUAUCGGAGACGUAUGCUAGCUUUGCAAUACCAACUACCGAUCGAUGGCAGGGGAUCUGUUUAAAAAAGUCACAGUUUGUGAAUUCUUUGACAGCAUUUCUGCCACGGACUGUUCAAAAGCUGUGUAGAGUCCAAUUUCUAGACGUUAGCGAUUCCCGAUUUAUCAUCGAGAACAGCCAGGGUGAUCUAGUAUCAAGUGAUGAUGUGUGUAUACAAGAGCCGAUGUGGAAGGUUUCUGUGCUUUUUACGUUUAAUUGUGAACGGACGAACAUAGUUGAUUCAGAUCACAGACUUAAGAUAGUGUAUCAUCAUCAAGAACUGAACGAUACUGACAUUGCUAGACGCGUGAAGCGUGAGCUGCGAAAUCAGUCUCCUUACUUUGAGCAAGCCCUGUAUGUAGCAUCAGUGGCCGAGGAACAGCCUCCAGGGGUCAUCGUUACAACAGUACGAGCUCGUGAUCCGGAGAACAGUCCGGUGACAUACUCCAUGUCUAGUCUUCUCGACUCCCGAUCUGCUGGUAUGUUUGCCGUGGACACUCGCACCGGCGUGGUGACAACGCAGGCCAGGCUGGAUAGAGAGAGGCUGGACGUGCAUUACUUCAGGGUGGUCGCGCAGGAUGAUACAUUCCCACCAAGAAGCGGAACUACAACGCUUCAGAUAAACGUAUUGGACUGUAAUGACCACGCGCCUAUUUUCGAGAUGCAGCAAUAUGAAUCAUCUGUGAGAGAAGGUGCCAGCCCUGGUACAACUGUGCUCACACUUAAAGCAACCGAUCAGGAUAUUGGGAAAAAUUCUGAGGUGGAAUAUUCGAUCGAUACUGUGGUAGCGGAAACCUUAGAUCCUGUUGACAUGAACGAAUCCAUUGUCACCGAAACCGAAGCCGCAGACGUGUUCCGAGUUGAUGGCAGGAGUGGAGCCCUGUUGACCAGAAGUGCUCUGGACAGAGAGAAAGUCGCCAGAUACACUGUUAUCGUAAAAGCCACUGAUCAGGCUAGCCCUUUGGCCGAUAGAAUGUCUAGCAGUGCCACCGUGCAUGUUAAUAUAUUAGACGACAAUGACAACUACCCGCAGUUCAGUGAGAAGACUUAUACUGUCAAUAUCGACGAAGACAUCAGCGUAGCUGACAAUCCAGUCAUAGCGCGAAUUAAAGCGACAGAUGCAGAUGUUGGCGCCAACUCUGCUAUCCGUUACGCGAUAAUUGGUGGGAAUACACAAAUGCAGUUUUCCAUAGACAGUCUUAGCGGUGACGUGUCCCUUGUAAAGCCCUUAGACUAUGAACAAGUCAGGAGUUACCGACUAGUUAUAAGAGCUCAAGAUGGUGGAAGUCCGUCCCGUUCAAACACAACCCAAUUGUUGGUGAACGUUAGAGACGUCAACGACAACCCGCCACGCUUUUACACCUCACUAUUCCAAGAAUCCGUCAGCGAAAGUGUACCAGUGGGAUACAGUAUCGUUAGGGUACAAGCAUACGACGCAGACGAAGGUGUAAACGCAGAUUUGACAUACACGUUGACUGACAAAGAAUACAAUGGAAACAACGAUCUCCCCAUCACCAUCGAUCCUCGCUCUGGAUGGGUGUACACCUCCUCACACCUGGAUAGAGAAGUGCAGUCCAAAUAUCAAUUACAGGUGACAGCGACAGACGGCGGUAGUCCGUCACGGUCCGCGAGUGCGUCUGUGGUGGUGGUGGUACAGGACGUGAACGACAACGACCCUGUGUUCACACCGCCCCAGUAUGAAGUGGAACUGGCGGAAGACGAGCCUCCUGGGACCCCCGUCGUCACCGUCACAGCGAGCGACGCUGACGAAGAUAACAGAUUACAUUACGAGAUAACAGGCGGCAACACACGAGGUCGAUUUUCAAUCACGUCUCAGAACGGCAGAGGUCUGAUCACUGUGGCCCAACUGUUGGACUUCAAACAAGAGAGACGAUAUGUUCUGACAGUCACCGCGACCGACUCCGGCGGGAGAUCUGAUACGGCCAUGGUCCAUAUCAACAUCACCGACGCUAAUAACUACGCGCCUGUGUUCGAGAACGCACCAUACACAGCUUCGGUCUUUGAAGAUGCCCCUGUUGGUACCACAGUCCUUGUAGUGUCGGCUACCGACAGUGAUGUUGGUGUGAAUGCUCAAAUAACUUACACACUCAGCUCAGAAAUAUCGAACGAAGCCGUGGCCCAUCACGAGCAAGAGUUUCUGAUCAAUCCUCAGACAGGAGCUAUAACGACGAACAAACCACUGGAUAGAGAAACUAUGAGCGGCUACCUGCUAACGGUGACAGCUCGGGAUGGUGGAGUGCCAUCCUUAUCUGAUACUACAGAUGUCGAGAUCUCAGUCGUCGACGUAAACGACAAUGAGCCGGUGUUCAAACAACAGUUGUAUACAGCCAGCAUUAUCGAGGAUGCUUUAGUUGGUACUUCGGUUACCCAAGUAGGCGCGACGGAUGCGGAUGUAGGUCUCAAUGGCAGAGUUCACUAUGAACUGGAAACCAGAGACAGAGAGGAAGGUUCCUUUGUGAUCGACCCUGCGUCUGGGGUCAUCAGGACUAAUAAGGCUUUAGACAGAGAAUCCGUGGCCAUAUAUGACUUGAAAGCUUUAGCUAUAGACGGGGGUACCCCACCACAGAGCUCAACGGUUAUAGUCCAUAUAAAAGUAGAAGACAUUAAUGAUUCCCCACCAGUAUUCGACAGCGAUUGCCUUUCCUUUUAUGUGCCAGAAAAUAGUCCCAUUGGAACCACUAUUGGAGAAAUUCAUGCACACGAUCCCGACGAGGGCGCUAAUGCUGUUGUACAUUAUUCUAUUAAAGGUGGAGACGACUCCAACAGCUUUUCUUUAGAAACCCGUCAGGGAUCUGAUAAAGCAGAGUUAGUCACAAUGGUAGAUUUAGACUACGAGAGUCCUAGGAAGAAAUACGAGUUGGUGAUAAGAGCUGCCAGUCCACCCCUAUGGAACGAUGUGCGAGUCGAAAUACUAGUAACCGAUGUAAAUGAUAACGCGCCGAUGUUAAAGGAUUUCCAGAUCAUUUUCAAUAACUAUAAAGACUGUUUUCCCGUGGGACCGUUUGGGAAAGUACCUGCUUAUGACGCUGACGUCACCGAUAAGUUACAAUACCGAGUUCUGUCCGGAAAUAAUGCAAAUUUGGUCCUUCUGAAUGAAACGACGGGUUCGAUGACCCUAUCCCCACAAUUGAAUACUAACGUUCCAAAACUAGCUACUAUGGAAAUAUCAGUGACAGAUGGUGUUAAUGAGGUAAAAGCAAUGAUGCAACUCCUGGUCCGACUGAUAACAGAAGAAAUGCUCUUUAACUCAAUAACCGUGAGACUCAACGAUAUGACAGCGGAACAGUUUUUGUCGCCAUUACUUGGGUUUUUCAUAGACGGGUUGGCGGCUAUCAUACCGUGUCCCAAGGAAAAUAUUUACAUAUUCAGUGUGCAGGACGAUACGGAUGUGAGUGGUAACAUCCUGAACGUAUCAUUAUCCGCGAGACGCCCGGAAGCAGAACUGACUAGUGAAGUACGAGAUGGACGCACGCACUAUUACUCCCCAACACAUCUCCGAGAGAGAGUCUACCUCCAGAGGGCCACAUUGGCCAGGCUAGCUACGGUUCAGGUUCUUCCCUUCGACGACAACAUUUGCGUUCAUGAACCGUGUCUCAACUACGAGGAAUGUCUGACGGUUCUGAAAUUUGGUAACGCGUCAGGUUUCAUCAGCAGUGACACAGUACUAUUCCGACCAAUUUACCCCGUCACUACUUUUACCUGUCAAUGCCCUGAAGGUUUUACUGGUUCCCGAGAACACUACAUGUGCGAUACAGAAGUAGAUCUCUGUUAUUCAUCACCAUGCCAGAAUAAUGGGACAUGUGUGCGCCGCGAAGGAGGUUACACAUGCGUGUGCGGGGCCGGGUUUACAGGAGUAAACUGUGAAACGAUCUUAACAAAAGCGACCUGCGACUUGAACGGUGACGGCAGCAUAUGUCGCAGCGGUUCGCAGUGCGUCGCUCGCAAGGAGGGCGGUAUCUUGUGUCAGGGUUGUACUAUAGAUACGGCUUACACUACCGCUAUGUGUGAAUUAAAAGCCAGGAGUUUCCCAACUACCUCAUUUUUAACAUUUCCGGGACUGAAACGUCGGCACCGCUUUAAUUUAAGGAUGAAAUUCGCAACACAGACGUCAUCAGGUUUACUUCUAUACAACGGAAGAUACAACGAACGACAUGACUUCGUCUCUCUGGAGGUGAUCAGUUCAGAGGCCGGUCGAGGUGGAUCAGGACUAAGGUUCAGCUUCGGACUUGGAGGCGGAAGAACGGAAGUGACAGUAGAGGGCGAUGUGGCCGAUGGUGAAUGGCAUACCGUGGAAAUUGAAUAUUUUAAUAGGACAGCAACAAUCAUUUUAGACGAUUGCGACAAGCAGUUGUCCCUUGCGGGUGCUUCAGAGUUCGGAAUUAAAUAUGCGUGCGCUAACUUUACAAGGAAAGUCCUACCAUCCAAAUGCGAUAUUCCAACUGAAUCCUGCCACCGAUUUCUUGACUUAACUGGUCCCCUGCAACUUGGUGGUCUACCAAACAUUCCUAGCAGUUUCCAAGUCAAAAACAAGGAUUUUGUCGGAUGUAUUUCUGAUUUUUACAUUGAUCAUAAAUUCGUGGACUUAAACAGCUACGUAUCCGACAACGGCACGAUAGCCGGUUGUCCAGAGAAGCGAUCUCGAUGCAGCGCCGCCCCUUGCUACCACGACGCGCCUUGUAAAGAUCUCUGGGACACAUUCCUAUGCACCUGUGAUGAUGGAUUUUCCGGGAAGGAUUGUGCUGAAACUACGUCUCCUCCUUGGCGCUUCAGCGGUGAAGGGAUGCUAUCUUUCAACCCCCUGCUACGUCCCAUACAACUCCCAUGGUUGAACGCGCUCUCACUGCGGACAAGGCAACUCGAUGCCUUCAUAAUGUCGAUACAAGUGGGACAAAAUAGCACUGUUCUCAUCACUUUGAAAUCAGGUCAACUUCAUUAUUCAUACAACGGCGAAACGAUGCUGAUACCGACGAGUACACUGUCCGACGGGUCGUGGCAUCGCAUCGAAAUCAAAUGGCUCGGAACGGAUAUAUCAGUGAGCUUGGACUAUGGCCUGCGAACUGUUUUAUUACCGAUGCUAGCGAACAAAAUACAGGGACAAUAUAUUGGGAAGAUUGUUAUCGGUGGACCCGAUACCACCCCCGCCUUACUAGCGUCGGAUGUCGGAUAUUUCGAAGGAUGUAUUCAGGACGUUCGCGUGGGAACAGCUCAGUCAUUGCUAAAUCGUCCGACUGUCAGAGAACAUGUUCGAGAUGGUUGUCAGUCGCGAGCUGAUUGCAUGUUGUCUAUAUGUCCACCCUAUAGUAAAUGCGUGUCAUCGUGGGACACAACUGAGUGUGUAUGUGAGGCGGGACGGGUCGGCCCGAUGUGUGUCGGCGCGUGUGAGCUACAGCCGUGCGGUGACCACGCCGUGUGCGUCCCGGACCACACAGACAAAGGAUACACGUGCGUGUGCGAGGACGGGUACAUUAUGACCGAGUCAGGUUGUACGAGUGCACGUAGCGGGUCUUGUCCGGGUGGCUGGUGGGGGGCGCGUGGAGCGUGCGGUCCUUGCGCGUGUUCUGCGAAAGGACUACACCCGCACUGCCACGCGGACACGGGACGAUGUCGGUGCAAGGAGAACCACUACCAGCCAAUUGGUUCAGAAGAAUGCAUACCGUGUCAAUGUUACCCGGCCGGUUCAAUAAACGGUUCUUGUGAACUGUCAUCGGGGCAAUGUUACUGUAGAAAUGGCGUGAUCGGGCGAGCCUGUGACUCCUGCGCUAAUGUCUACGCUGAGGUUACUCCCAAUGCAGGGUGUAAAGUUGUGUAUGAUGGAUGUCCAAGAUCGUUUUCACACGGAGUUUGGUGGCCGCAAACAAAAUUUGGCAUAGAAGCUGUCACGGAGUGUCCAACAGGAUCCAGUGGAAAAGCUAAGCGUCUAUGCGACGAGAAACAAGUGAUACCUUGGCAGGAACCGGAUAUGUUCAAUUGUACUACGUCUACAUUUUACCAACUUAGAAAACAGCUCCACAAAAUAGAAACAGGGGAACUGCAAGUCAAUACGUUCGUGGGUGUACGGUUGGCAGAAGAUCUAUCGACGGCGUGUUCUAACACGCAACCGUUGUAUGGAGCAGACGUGCUGGUGGCGGAGGGGAUAAUACUGGAACUACUGCAAUACGAGCUGAGACAGGCCGGUUUAAACCUUACGCACAGUCAGGAUAAGGACUAUGUUCGUAAUAUAAUAAAAUCAGCAAACACGAUUAUAAAUAAUCAGUACGAUAAGGAAUGGGCACGAAUUAGAGAACUAACAGGUCACGGGGCUGAACAUUUGAUACAACAAUUCGAUAAAUACAUAGCAGUACUAGCGGAGAGUCAGCAUGACACGUACACCAGCCCGUUUGAGAUAGUCACUUCUGAUUUAGUGAUUGGAGUUGAUAUCGUAACAGCAGAAUCAAUAUAUGGCUUUGAACCCACGACUCUUAAUAGACUGAGUGAUUCGUUGACGACCGAACGUGUAGUUUUACCAGAUACUUCGUCUUUCAUUCACUCGCCAAUUCAGACGCUUGGUUACUACGGCAUCGGUAAAUCAAAGAACAAAAAGCCAUCAAGUCCCACUGUCUCAUUUCCGAAGUAUAACAACUACGUGAAAAACAAAAACAAAUUUGACAAAUUCUCCAGAGUGCUUCUGCCCUUGGAUUUGAUUGGGAUCAACAAUGUUCAAGAUAAUCUAGAGAGCAACUACGAAUCAAGAGCUGUGUUUUCAUACCUACAAUAUUCUCGUAACUCCUCACACCUUCUGCCGUUGUACUUCGAUGAGUCAGUGAGUCGCCGUUGGGGAGUCAAUAUAACUAUCGGCUCCGCUGUCAUGCAGGUAGCUUUAUUCGUGCCAGAAGCUGUUUGGCAGAGAGAGACUACUGCCGAUAAUGUGGAUACUUCUGAUGACGUUGAAGGAAUUAUGUACGCUAAUAAAGGCCACCAUCAAUCGGAAAUCAAUAACGACAUAAAUGCACAUUCUAACGCACACACAAAACGCACGUGGCCAUCGGACGAGGAACAGUUAACUAGCGAUCAUGGACCAGUGGUGAUCCAACCAGCUUACAAGAAACAAGAAAAAUCAUACGGUGACAGUCUUCAAGAAAAUGAUUCGUCAUACGUGGCAGAGCGUUUGGAAAAUUCUGAAGGACCUAAAGUUUUGGCUUUAGUCAUGGAUAACGAAAAGGAUAAAGAAAGCAAUGCGUCGAAGGAGGUCGGGAAAAAGAAGUUGAUAUAUAAAAGUUUGAAUGGAGUUAGAUUGAAGAAGCCGAUAAGACUACAGAUAUGGCUCGACAUCAACAGAGAAACAUUUGGAUCAAGGACCAAUCCACAAUGUGUUCACUGGUCCACCGCUAACGGGCCUGGUGAAUGGUCUCGUGUCGGUUGCCACACAGAAAUCGACUACGACUGGUCUCCGUAUUCUGACGAGCCUUUGCUCAUCAACUGUACCUGCAAUCACCUAUCUACUUUCGCCGUUUUAGUCGACGAAGUUGACAUCGAGUUUAUUCCGGAGCCUUCCCUCCUGGAAGCGGUGACGUCAUACACGGGCUUCAGCAUCUCUCUUCCUUUACUGAUGUGGACGUGGGCGGCGCUGUGUCUGAUGCGGGGCGGCGCGUCAACCGUCUCCAACUCCAUACACAAACACCUUAUCUUCUGCGUAUUCAUGGCCGAGAUGUUCUACCUGAUCGCUCUGAAAGGCCGCACUACUUUAGUGCAGAAUGAGUUCGCGUGUAAGCUGGUAGCGAUGUCGUUACAUUACUGGUGGGUGAGUGCGCUGGCUUGGGCUGCGUGUGACGCGUGGCAAGUGAGGAGGCUGGUGAGGGAGUUAAGGGACGUGAACCACGGACCACUGGCGGCACAGCUCGCGGUCGGGUAUGCCGCACCCGCUGUGCUGCUAGCAUUGGCCGCGGCACAUCACCAGCACCAAUACGGCAAUGCACUCUUCUGUUGGGUGAGUUGUCACGAGGCUGUGGUGUGGUGGGUUGUGAUACCGGCGGGUUUGUACGCUUCAGCCGCGCUCGUCCUACUCGCGGGCGCCACGAGAGCUGCCUUCACUGUCAGGGACCACGUCAUAGGAUUUGGGAACUUGAGAUUGCUGCUGGGCGUGAGUAUCAUAUGUUUACCGUUAUUGGUGGUAUCCUGGGCGAGUGCGUUGGUCCUAGGCAGUGAAGCGGGUUCUCGCCGGGACGCGCUCAGUUCCGCGCUCGCGGCUGCGGUCGCAUUGCACGCCGCCGCCGCGACUCUAGGAUACAUUGCUCUCAACGUGCGCGUUAGAGAUAAUCUUAAAAGGACCAUGCUGCGGUGCUUGGGUAAGAAAGUGCCUCCAGUGGAUACAUCAGUCAUCAUCAGCACGAGCGCACAAAAUCUAUCCCAAGUUAAUAGAUCCGCGUUGGCUUACCACAGCAGUACGGAGGGACGUCAACUUCGCAACAUAGGCAUCUCCGCCUCCUCGACCACGUCACGAUCAACAACGAAGACGAGCUCCAGUCCUUACAGUCGCAGCGAUGGUCAACUUCGUCACACAAGCACAUCAACGUCCAACUACAACACUAGCGCCAGUGACAUGCCGGCCUACUUGAGAGGAUUCGAUUCCUCGCUACACACGAGGAAAGAUGACGGUAGCCGUCAUCGUAAGUCCCGUUCUGGUGACGAGGGUGGUGAUCACUCGGACACAGAGAGCGAGGCCUCCGCUCGCAGCCUGGAGCUCGCCUCCAGCCACUCGUCGGACGACGAGGACACAGCCUCCCGCCGCUCCUCGCACCCGCCUUCCGCACUGCGAGACCGAGCUCCGAGCGGCGCCAACACCAGCUACCUUCCGAACAUCACUGAGGGCGCUCCCUUAGCGAUCACUCCUCGCUGGCAGCCGCAUAUAAGAGAGGAACCAAAUCGUUGGUCCCAAGAGACUGGUUCGGAGGAGAUGCGUGGAGGGGAGGCGACACCCUCCCCCCACCCCCUGCCGACCCCUGACCUCACAUCCGACGUGUACCAGAUGAGACAUCGCCUCAAACCAUCCAUACUCGAGAACGUUCACGACACCUACGUGGCCAGCGUGGACGCCAGCAGACUACCGCUCGAUAACAGAUACGGUGUAAUAGAAGACGAACUGAUGUACGGGGUCAUGAGCACCGAAACGGAGAAACAGAUGCCGUAUGAUCCGACGUAUCCGAUCUCUCCGACCAUGUUCAGACUUCCAAGUAAUCCUUACGGCUCAAAGACCUAUUUGUCGUCUCGCACCUCCGAUUAUGGAUACAGUCCCACCAAAUACUUGAAUACGGAACCCAGUGUUUAUGGAUCCCGGGAUUUUAGAGAUUCCAGCGUUACGGCUAGAGAGCACGACGCGUACCCGCCCCGUGACUUCCGGGAUUCCGGGAUAGCUACCAUGUUGAAGAACGACUAUCAAAGGAAAAUGGAAGGCCAUUACGAUUACAACGACAGAAUGUCAGAUGGAUCUGAUAAACAUCAUCCUCACGAUAAAUACCUGUUCCCUUAUACAGCGGAAGAAGACCACGCACACACGCCACAACGACUCAACGGUGACACAGGUGACAGUCAGCAACCAAUGGGGGCGCCACUCGCUAGUAUGGGGGAAACGAGCGAAUGGUGGAGGUUGUAUGAGAAACACUCAUUGUAAAAUCAUCUUUUGCUUUGCUAACCGGUGGUGUUGUCACGCGCAAAAUCAUCAAUCAUCUUAGGGAGGAGGAAAUCUACUAACGAAGAUGACGCAGAAACAAGAGUUUAAGAAAAGAUAGUACAAGAUUUCCAAUGAAUCUCAAUUAGUUAAUUAAUUUAUUUUAUUUCGUAAUUGUAAAAUUUUACAAAAUAAUUUAGAUGUUAUUUGCAAAGACUGUUUCAUUAUUCAGUGUUCACUGCCAUAAGUAGCAUAACGGCUGUUCAUUUUAAAUUUUUGUCUAUGCUUUAAGUAGAAUAAUUGCCAUUUUAUAAAUAUAUAAUAAUUUAGUAAAUAAUGUUUUUAAUCCAUAAGAUUAAUCCAAAAAUGUUUAUAAAUAGAAGUUUCUUUAAUUUACAUGACUAUAUCAAAAUGGUAAGGUCUUCAUAUAAUUUAGCCUGAAAUAUAAAUUAUAAUAUUGUAGAGAUGUGUUUAGAUAAACCUCUAUAAAUGCUGUUGUUGUAUGUAACCAUUAGUUGGCCUUUAUUCGCUAUAAAAUAAAAAUGUAAAUCAUUGACGCAAAAAAACGUUAAUAUUUUUAUAAUUUGCCUCUAGGGGUGUACAAUAAUUGAUAACAAUUAUAUGCCGUGCUUUCAAAGGAAACUUUGCUAGAUUGUAUGUAAAUAAAUUGGAUAGGAAAAUGUUAUUAAAAUACAAAAAUAUUUUUCUAUGUAGCAGCAAAAACUUAUAGAUUGUAUUCUUUAAGUUUUAGGAUCACAUCUUUCAUCAGACAUGUUUAAUAUAAAUUUUCUAUGAUUGCAAUUUAUGUAUAUAGUGUUGUACCGUGAAGAGUGUUCUGUGCGUUUGAGCGUUGAAACGAAGAGUCCACCUAUUUUGUAAAUAAAACAAAGUUUUACACUUUCUAGUUGUUUAAGUACUUUAUAAUUAUAAGUUUAAUAAAAGCUUUACUGGCACAUUCCCUUUAGCAUUAAAAAAAAUAUUUAUUGUCGCAAAAUACCAUACUUACUGUUCAUUCAAUUUUUUUCACAAAAAAUCCCUUAGAAUAAAAAAAUAUAAAAAAUUCUUUGAAUUAAGUGGAGUCUAAUCUAUAGAACGUAGUGACAGAAGAUUAAAUGUAGUUAUAGAGACUUUUUAAUUAAAUAUACCCCAUCGAAAUAUUUAAAAAAAGACACGACAAUGCUAGCUGUGAUUAAUUCAUUAGCCUGACAACAGAUAAUAUAUAUAAAGAAAUGCAAUUUAAAUUUGAAUUCAAAGACUUUUAAGUGUAAUGCAGAAAUUAGAUUGAUCUAUAUUUGAUUGAAUGAUACAGAUAAUAAAAUUUAUAGAAACACAAUUUAAAAAAUAUUUAUUUGUCACCGCAGAUUCUCAUUUUUACAUUCCGCUUUGUAUUUUUUAUAUGUAGCAGUACAAUAAUUAUUACAUGUAGCGUCGGAACUGUUUUAUAUUGAAAUAAAAAAUAUUUUACUGCUAA